rnacentral:rRNA from 1 species
GAUGAACGCUGGCGGCGUGCCUAAUACAUGCAAGUCGAGCGAACGGACGAGAAGCUUGCUUCUCUGAUGUUAGCGGCGGACGGGUGAGUAACACGUGGAUAACCUACCUAAGACUGGGAUAACUUCGGGAAACCGUAGCUAAUACCGGAUAAUAUUUUGAACCGCAUGGUUCAAAAGUGAAAGACGGUCUUGCUGUCACUUAUAGAUGGAUUCGCGCUGCAUUAGCUAGUUGGUAAGGUAACGGCUUACCAAGGCAACGAUGCAUAGCCGACCUGAGAGGGUGAUCGGCCACACUGGAACUGAGACACGGUCCAGACUCCUACGGGAGGCAGCAGUAGGGAAUCUUCCGCAAUGGGCGAAAGCCUGACGGAGCAACGCCGCGUGAGUGAUGAAGGUCUUCGGAUCGUAAAACUCUGUUAUUAGGGAAGAACAUAUGUGUAAGUAACUGUGCACAUCUUGACGGUACCUAAUCAGAAAGCCACGGCUAACUACGUG